GCACUGCCAGCUAACUGGCCUCCCGCGCAGGCGUACUGACAGCUUAGACCUUGGGGCUGGGCAGCCCAGCCACUUCAGCCACCCGGCCCUCGUGCGCAGGCGCAAUGACAGCCCGAUGGUCCUCUACAGGUCCGGGAGUUUACAGAAAGGGAGAGAGACUAGAAGCAGAGCCGAGGUCGUGCUAGUGAGGACGAGAUGAGGAAAGACUGUACCUAAGACCCGUGGAAAUCCUCUCACAGUCCGGAGCAGGGGCUCUUCUGGUGAAUUGAGGGUGCCUUCCUCCAAGAUUCCACACAGAAGCAGACUUUAGACUUCUCUCCAGAAGAAUCCUCAACUCCUCUCCCUAUUCCAACUACCCGUCCAGAGGAAAGGAAGUGGCCAAUCUGAUUACUGUUAAACAAAAUUCACCUGGUAGAUUUGAAGAUCUAACUGGCUUUAUUCAAUGAUCCACGAAUAGGGCAGCAGCCCAUCUGAAACCUGAUGAUAACCAGAUAAUGACAUUUGUUUUGAAAUCAUCUGACAUAAUCUGAUUGUACCAACUCCUGGAUGGCAUCUUACUGUCCAGAAGAAUGCGCCCAUUCAGAUGUUUCAAGGCUUCCCUGCUCUGAGAUUUCAAGAAAUGCAUCACCGUCCUGAUGUUGGCAGGCUGGGUCUAAGGACACAGAGGGGCCCUGCAGGACCAGCCAAGAGGGUCCUUGGCUUUGCAUGGGAUAGAAAUCAAAUGCAGGGCGCCUGGGUGGCUCAGUGGGUUAGAACACUGCCUUAGGCUCAGGUCAUGGUCUCAGGGUUCUGGGAUCGAGUCCCACAUCAGGCUCUCUGCUCAGCGGGGAGCCUGCCUCCUCCUCUCUCUCUGCCUGCCUCUCUGCCUACUUGUGAUCUCUCUCUGUCAAAUAAAUAAAUGAAAACUUUAAAAAAAUUAAAAAA